CCUACGGGCGGCAGCAGUGAGGAAUAUUGGUCAAUGGCCGGAAGGCUGAACCAGCCAUGCCGCGUGAAGGUCAGUGCCCUAUGGGCGUUAAACUUCUUUUGUGCGGGAGCAAUAAUGGUCACGUGUGGCCAGACGAGAGUACCGUACGAAUAAGCCACGGCUAAAUACGGGCCAGCAGCCGCGGUAAUAAGUAGGGGGGAAGCGUUAUCCGGGUUUACUGGGGGUAAAGGGAGCGUAGGCGGCAGUGCAAGGCUGGAGGUAAAGGCGGGGGGUCAACCCCCGGACUGCUCUGGAAACUGUACGGCUGGAGUGCAGGAGAGGUAAGUGGAAUGCCUGGUGUAGCGGUGAAAUGCGUAGAUAUUAGGAGGAACACCAGUGGCGAAGGCAGCUUACUGGA
rnacentral:rRNA from 1 species